UGUAAAAUUCAAGAAAGUUGGUCCAGGCCCAACCCUGUCAAACUUCCUCACUUGGUCAACCUCACCAUUUUUCCAAAUAUGGGCCACCCUGGGCCCACCAAGUGAGCCCAAUAUCACCGCAGCCGUCUCCGCCGAUACCGGCAGCGACGGCACCACCGGAAACCGACCCGAAACUUCACUAUCCUCCACCCUUAACCUCUCCACAUCCCCACCACCACCACCACUUGCACCCCACCCGGGUGUAAGUGGGUCCCCCACACCAUCCAAAACCGUCCCUCUCUCAACGCCGUUACCGUUACCGUCAGUAAACAUAACCACCGCCGUUACCCCUCUCUCCGCCGCCUUAACCACCACCGCAUUUCUCGACAUCCCACCACCUCUUUUCACAACCGCUAUACACCCGUUAACAUUAACCCCAGCCGCCGCCAGCGCACGAUAGUCCUCCUCCCUCCCAUGGCUAACGUACACCGCCUUACCGUACGCCGUCCCCGACGGCGAGUAUGCAUGGUACGGUCUUACAACCUCAGAGUCCGACCCAAACCCGGGCUCCGUUAACGUUAGCGAAACAGUACUAGAAUUGCUAAAGUGCGCCGUAAGUGAUGAGCUAACUGGGUAUGAUAACAGUACUGAAAAAUUUGUCACGUGGGUUGGGAUGUUGAAGGAUUGGAAGUGGGAGGUGACGUAAGCGGCGGCGGCGGAUGACGGUGGUGUGCCGGCGAUGUGGGGGUGGAGGGUGAGGUGGCGGAGGUAGGUAGAUAUGGUGUAGUUGGAUGCAGAACUGAUAAAGGUGGAGACAGACGGUGGGUUAGUGGUGGAUUGUGGUGGUGGUGGGUGGGGGUUGUGGUGGUGGUGGAGAGUGUAGAGAGUGAGAAUGCAGAGGGUGAAGAUGAAGAGGAGAGUGCAUGCAGGGGAGGAUGAAGAGGUGGGUUUUGGGAGAGUGGUGGAGAAAGAUUGAGCCAUGGUGGUGGUGGUUUGUGGUGGUGGUUGGAAGUGUAACGGCUGAGAAACCAAGUAAAGUGUUGGAGAAGAGGUACAUGUGAUGUAGUAUCUAAAUUUUUGUCGGGGUGAUGUGUUCUUUUGUGGGUCCCUUGUGAAUGAAAUUUAACAUUAUUAUUUUUCCAUAUCACUCCAAAAUAAUAUUAAUAUAUUAUUAAAAUGUGUGUUACGACAUGUUAAACCGUUAAAAACAGAAGUAAAGCUUUUAUGUGCACCUGCUUCAUGCGUAUCGUUGAGUUUUACGUCGGAUGGUGGUGACAACGAUGUAAUUAUAGAUGCAAGUAGAUGAGAUGAGCAAUUAAAGAUGACGAUUUGUUUUAGAUGAGAAAUUGCUUAGAUCAUGCUUCAACGCUUGUACUAGCGAUGAAAAAUUACGUACGCUAUGCAUCAACACUUGUAUUGAUAGUAAAGUGUUGUAAAUAUUGUUGUUUUAGAAGUUGA
rnacentral:lncRNA from 1 species